GGUAGUAUGGUAUAGUGAUUAGACCAUUUGCUUUACAACCAAGUGGUCAUGGGUUUGAAUCCGACUGUUACUU